GAUGAACGCUGGCGGCGUGCUUAACACAUGCAAGUCGAACGGUGAAGCCAAGCUUGCUUGGUGGAUCAGUGGCGAACGGGUGAGUAACACGUGAGCAACCUGCCCUGGACUCUGGGAUAAGCGCUGGAAACGGCGUCUAAUACUGGAUAUGAGCUUCUACCGCAUGGUGGGGGUUGGAAAGAUUUUUCGGUCUGGGAUGGGCUCGCGGCCUAUCAGCUUGUUGGUGAGGUAAUGGCUCACCAAGGCGUCGACGGGUAGCCGGCCUGAGAGGGUGACCGGCCACACUGGGACUGAGACACGGCCCAGACUCCUACGGGAGGCAGCAGUGGGGAAUAUUGCACAAUGGGCGGAAGCCUGAUGCAGCAACGCCGCGUGAGGGAUGACGGCCUUCGGGUUGUAAACCUCUUUUAGCAGGGAAGAAGCGAAAGUGACGGUACCUGCAGAAAAAG
rnacentral:rRNA from 1 species